UCCUUUCCCUCCUUUUUAAUCCUAAUCUUUAAUCUUGAUAUAUUAUAACAUUAAAUUUUUACAUAUUAAAAACCAAUUUUUCCAUAUUCUUUUAUACCAGUACAGCUAGAAACCACUUAACUUCAAUCCAACAUCAUUCUAACAUUCAUUAAUUUUGCAAUAUUUCUGUAAAUAGUCUUUAAAUUUCUUCCAAUCUUCUUCCACCGACUCUUCUCCCUGGUCUCGGAUUCUGCCAGUCAUUUCCGCCAAUUCCAUGUAGUCCAUCAAUUUCAUCUGCCAUUCCUCCAGUGUGGGUAAGUCUUGUGUCUUCCAAUGCUUUGCAAUAAGUAUUCUUGCUGCUGUUGUAGCAUACAUAAAGAAAGUUCUGUCCUUUUUCACCGAUUGGCCGACUACGCCCAGGAGGAAGGCCUCUGGUUUCUUCAAGAAGGUAUAUUUAAAUACCUUUUUUAGUUCAUUAUAAAUCAUCUCCCAGAAAGCCUUAAUCCUUGGGCACGUCCACCAAAGGUGAAAAAAUGUACCUUCAGUUUCUUUACAUUUCCAACAUUUAUUAUCAGGCACAUGGUAGAUUUUUGCAAGCUUGACUGGGGUUAUGUACCACCUGUAUAUCAUUUUCAUAAUAUUUUCUCUUAAGGCAUUACAUGCCGUAAAUUUCAUACCUGUGGUCCACAACUGUUCCCAGUCAGCAAACAUAAUAUUAUGUCCAACGUCUUGUGCCCAUUUAAUCAUAGCAGAUUUCACCGUUUCAUCCUGAGUAUUCCAUUUCAGCAGCAAGUUAUACAUCUUUGACAAAAUCUUAGUUUUGGGUUCUAACAAUUCUGUUUCUAAUUUUGAUUUUUCCACCUGGAAGCCAAUUUUCUUGUCCAAAUUGUAUGCCUCCAUUAUCUGAUAAUAAUGAAGCCAGUCUCACACUUUAUUUUUUAAUUUUUCAAAACUCUGCAGUUUCAAUCUAUCUCCAUCUUGUUCCAAAAUUUCCCAAUAUUUCGGCCAAUUGACCUCCAUAUUAAGCUUUUUCAGAGCUUUCACUUCCAUCGGUGACAGCCACCUUGGGGUUUCAUUUUCCAAUAAAUCCUUAUAUUUUAUCCAAACAUUAAACAAUGCUUUCCUAACAAUAUGGUUUUUAAAUGCUUUAUGUGCUUUGACCUUAUCAUACCACAAAUAUGCAUGCCAUCCAAAUACAUUGUUAAAACCUUCUAAAUCCAAAAUGUCAGUGUUUUCAAGGAGCAGCCAUUCUUUCAACCAGCAAAAAGCUGUGGAUUCAUAAUAAAGUUUGAGGUCUGGCAGGGCAAAUCCACCUCUUUCCUUUGCAUCUGUUAAUAUUUUGAAUUUUAUUCUGGGCUUCUUGCCCUGCCAGACAAAUCUAGAAAUAUCUCUCUGCCACCUCUUGAAACAGUCCAUUUUGUCCACAAUUUGCAAUGUUUGAAACAAAAACAACAUUCUAGGCAAUACAUUCAUUUUAACUGCAGCAAUACGGCCCAACAGUGAAAGCUUCAAAUUUGACCAAAUUUCUAAAUCUUUUUUCACUUCAGCCCAACAUUUUUCAUAGUUAUCUUUAAAUAAAUUCCCAUUUUUUGCUGUCAUGAUAAUCCCCAGGUAUUUAACUUUCUUAACCACUGUUAAACCUGUCUCAUUCUGAAACCUCUCUCUCUCUAUUGGUGUUAAAUUUUUCCCUAUACACAGUUUCUCAUGCAGGAAGUGUGUGGUGUAUGAAGUGAAAGAUGGAGCCUAAUCUUAACAGUAAAGCGCCUAAAAGAGACACAUUGAAACUGCAGACGGGGUUCUGAUUGAGUCAGUGACCACAAAUCACAUGUGGAAAUCAGGAGGCACAUACAUAUUAUGCCUGGUGGAGAGAAAUAAUUUGUAACCAGCUUAAAGGAGGUAAGUCUGAAACAAAAACCAUAUUUUCUCCAUCUCCCCAAUUUGUUGAGAGGCCUCCAGCAGUUUGAGAAGCAUAAGUGCCACAGGAGUUUAAAUUUCCAUUCUCCCAGGAGCAAAGGCAGUAGCAGGGAAGAUACAGCAGGGCACUGAACUAAAUGCUAUUUAGCAUACCCUCCAAUAUUUAUCCAAUAAAAAUAGGGACAUCCCACUCCGUAAUGAUAAUUUCACUAUUUAUACCCCACACAUCUGAUUGGGUUGCCCCAGCACUCUUGGGCAGCUUCCAACAUAUAUAAAAAACAUAAUAAAACAUUAAACAUUUAAAGCACUUCCUUAUACAGGAUUGCCUUCAGACGGCUCGGGGAUAGCUCCAUACUCUCCAACGAAAAUAGGGACAUCCUAAGCAAAAGUGGGACAUUCUGGGAUCAAAUCAUAAACCGGGACAGCUUCUCUAAAUCAGGGACAUCCCUGGAAAAUAGAGAUACUUGGAGCAUCUGAAUUAGUGAAUGCUAUCAUAGAAACAUCAUCCAGUUAUUUAGGAGUGAACUUCUUAAUGCUGAGGUACAUACCAACCAACAAAAGAUGUAUCCACAAUCCAUUUCUGGCUUUGCUUUAUGAAGCCAUCUAAUUUUACCCACAAAGAGUGUUGCAGGGCAGGUGCCAGUAAUGGAAGCCCUGGCAUCUUUUUUUUCUGGUGGAGUUUCUCUCUCUCAACAGCUGCCAGAAAAACAGAAGUUCCACAGGUGGAGCUUUCAGCAGCGUUGAGAGGCAAUGAGGAGAAAAUAUUGUGGUGUGACCACAAGUGCCCCAAGUCUCCCAAGUUCUUGUUUCGUGUUAAGAAGGAACCUGGAUCUAGAAGAAUGGGAUAUGUACCUACUUGCAUUGGAGAGAAUAGGGCUAUCAUCCCCGCCUCACCUGUUCUGCCUUUAUUCCUGAAAUAAGAAUAUUGAGGGGUCCCUUCAAAGGGUUCAGUUUCUAAAGGAAGACCCGAGCUUCGGAGAGAGCGUACCUUUUAAGGCUCAAACCGGUCAGGAAAUGAACAGCGACCAGACCAGGAUACUCCUGUAAUCUGAUCCACUCCAUCUCCUGCCCUACGGAGGGUUACGGAGUCAAUUGCCCUUCCACCCCAGAAUGGGAUCUGACUUUGAGGGUUCCAACCAGGGUGUCUGGUGCUCUACCAUCACCAGCGCCUAAGGAUAAAGUUCCUUCAGCCCUCCAACCCAAUGUUCUGUGCACGCCUACAUGCAGACUUUCCGGAUCAUUGCUUCUUCUCGUAACCACAAUCCAAAGAUCCCCCGAUCAGGGAUAGCCAAUGUGGUGCCCUACAAGUGUUGCUUCCACCAUCCUUAGACAGCAUGGCUUGUGGUCAGGGAUGAUGGGAGUUGUAGUCCUGCAACAUCCAGUGGGGAUCACUUUGGCUACUCCUGAUGCAGAUGCAAACACUUCAACUUGAAGUGAUAUAUGCAGUUCCUCGCUAUUGCCACCAGGUGUCUCUCUGAAACUGAAUAAAGUGGAUAGGAUGGGUCUGGAAAUGGGCUGGUCCAGAUGUAUUGGGACCCAAGAUAAAACAUCCACUACAAUGAAGGAGUGGGCAUUGUUCUUGCACAACUCCUGUUCAUCUCUGUGGGGAUUCAGCUAUGGAUUUGUGCUCCGUGGGUCAGAUGGGGCUGUCCAUCGCGUUAGUGGCACCCAAACUCUAAUGCCCCAGCUGACCCCUUAGUCAGGUUGCUAAAAUAGUGAGGAAUCAUAGAAUCAUAGAGUUGGAAGAGACCACAAGGGCCAUCGAGUCCAACCCCCUGCCAAGCAGGAAACACCAUCAGAGCACUCCUGACAUAUGGUUGUCAAGCCUCUGCUUAAAGACCUCCAAAGAAGGAGACUCCACCACACUCCUUGGCAGCAAAUUCCACUGUCGAACAGCUCUUACUGUCAGGAAGUUCUUCCUAAUGUUUAGGUGGAAUCUUCUUUCUUGUAGUUUGGAUCCAUUGCUCCGUGUCCGCUUCUCUGGAGCAGCAGAAAACAACCUUUCUCCCUCCUCUAUGUGACAUCCUUUUAUAUAUUUGAACAUGGCUAUCAUAUCACCCCUGAACCUCCUCUUCUCCAGGCUAAACAUGCCCAGCUCCCUUAGCCGUUCCUCAUAAGGCAUCGUUUCCAGGCCUUUGACCAUUUUGGUUGCCCUCCUCUGGACACGUUCCAGUUUGUCAGUGUCCUUCUUGAACUGUGGUGCCCAGAACUGGACACAGUACUCCAGGUGAGGUCUGACCAGAGCUGAAUACAGUGGCACUAUUACUUCCCUUGAUCUAGAUGCUAUACUCCUAUUGAUGCAGCCCAGAAUUGCAUUGGCUUUUUUAGCUGCCGCAUCACACUGUUGGCUCAUGUCAAGUUUGUGGUCAACCAAGACUCCUAGAUCCUUUACACAUGUACUGCUCUCAAGUCAGGUGUCACCCAAAACUAGGCUGCUAGUUAGAACUGAGGACCUGCUAUGGCUGACUGGUGUCCAUUGGGACUGGUAGGGUGGGAGCCCAACAGUAGGUGGUGCCAGAGAACCCACAACUGGCAGAGACAACUCCUAGUCCCCCCCCCCAUCCUUCUCCCUGUGGAGUGUGCAAGGAGCAAUGCUGGGACUAAGGAGGGGAAACCUGGCAGGCAGUCCCGCCCCCUGGAGAGGCUGGGAGUGGGAAGGGAGGGCAGGUGGGUGUUGAUGAAGGUUGUUGGGGCAGUGCCCCAUUCCCCUAACAGAUCAGCCUCUGCUAGGGCCUGUGUUUGCAGAAUUACUGGGAGUGGGAAUUAAUGGUGGGGGCAGGGCAGGCAAGCCAGUUGCUGGGUCUCAGGCUGCAUAAGCACCAAACAUUUAAAGCACAAAAAAGAAUCCCAGGACUCGGUCCAGGACUCUGUGAAGGAUGCAUAAUGGUGGCCUGGCAGCUAGUAAAAGUGCUGUUAUUGUCACCAGAGCCACGGAGGGGAGAACCAAGUUAGUUGCUCCGGGUGAAGCCUCCAGAGGGUGUCACUGAGGCUCUCAGCUUGCGUGUGACCGCAAAUGCACAUGGGAGGGUGCCACAACAGCAACACCCCUUAAGAAAAAAAGAGAAAGGAACUGUGUGAAAAAAGUAAAGGAACAGUUCCACGGCCACUGCUAAUGACAAGUCCUACACCUGAGAAAAUGUGGGAGGAUUUCUCUGUCUCCUGGAGAAUUAAGUAAAAUCUACCCCACCCCCAAAAAAGUUCUCUGCCCACAACUGGGAUUGAGAAAUUUGAGAGACCCUUGGCCACAGCUCCAUUUUUCUGUCUUCCCAACCAUACAAUCAAAAACCAGAAGAUGCAAGGAAAAUUACCCUUUUAUUACUUAAAAAGAAAAAACCCCAUACAGCAGAGUGGCACAGGACAUGUUGUUAGGUGCCAACUAAUGUGUUAAUUAUUCUUGACUAGGCGUCCUGAAUCCUGUUUUGGCGCCCAGUUCUUUGUUCAGAGUCCCAUCUUCCCAGAAUAGGUCUCCUUUUCCUUAAUCCUUUAAUUCAACACUGUUAUUUAUGAGAAGGGGAAUAAAUCACAGCCUUCUUUUCGCUCCUGAAAAUGGACUUUUAUGGCUUUUGACGGGGUUGGGUUUCUGCUGCCCUUAGAUGGCGAGGAGCGAUUGCCAUUAACCCUUGCCUUGCAGGGGUGAGAGAGGUUGUAGCGGGUGGGGAGGGUCCUUUGUGGCUGGGCGGAAACUCCCCAAAGCCCAGCAGCUCCAGCUAAGGGCAUCUGAAGGAAUGUGGCUUCUCAGGGUUUGUCAGGAGGAGACUGAAGGAUGUUUUCUUUUCUGCACAUUUCGAAGCACAAACUGGUUGUGGUUUGCUUUGCUUUCUCUAUAUAUAUUUAAAUGCUUUUAGAACCCCAUCUGCAUUUCUGUUUUAUCUUAAAAGUCUUCUGGUGUGGUGGUGGAGAAUGGAUACGACGAGUCAGGGUUUUAGGAAUUUUUGAAAACCAAGAGCUUUGUAACUUGCAUUCAAGUUUUGCAUUUCCUUGUUCAGAUCCUUUUUAAGAAAAAAAUAUUUUGUAGGCUUUUGAAGCUUAGACACCAGAGUUUUGGUUUUAGGAAUUAAACAACAAUAACUACGUAACUUUCAUGCAGUUUUGUCUUUCCUUCCUCAGAUUCUUUAAGAAAAAUGCCCUUUCGCCUAUGAUGGUUUACAGCCCACUGAUAAUGUCUUGCAGCACAAACCCAACUGUGUCUACUGAGAAGUAAGUCCUAUUGAAUUCAGUGGGCUUACUCCCAGGCAAGUAGGGUUAUGAUUGCCAUUGUCCCUUGGCUCUUUGUAACUUGUGGUACAACAGUCUACAUGUCUGUCAGUCUGGAGAAGGAAGAAUGUGGCUCUGACCUGCUUUCCAAGGAAUUGGCUUCUUUAAAUAGAGCACUGUUCUUCUGCAGGGGACGUUGCCUCUUUUGCUGGGAAUGAACUGCAACCAUUUCAUCAUGACAUCAUAGGGGAAGAGGAGCAGAGUGUUGCUUGAUCCAGAGCCAGGAGAUCAUGCUUUUGACUCAGAUCUCUCAGGUCCGAGCUCAGCUUCUAGUUUAGCCAUGGACUCACCGGGUGUGCUCAAGUAUUUAAGUCUCUGUUAUCCAUCUGUAAAAUGGGCAUUGCCUGCAGAUGUUGGGCACAAUGAGAUCACCUACAUAAAUGUGCUCGAUCCUCUAUCAGCAUGCGCAGACCAUCUUUUGAACCUAAC
rnacentral:lncRNA from 1 species